GGUCAAGUUUAAUCUCUCGUAAGGAAAAACAAAGGCAAAUCACCAGGACAGCUCUGUGGAACAGCAUUUUAAGACCUGUAAGGUCCAGAAUCCUAUAAAAGAAUAGAUUUGGGCAUCUCACACUCUAAGCCAUACCAUUGAUUCACAUCCUCUUCUUUGCACUCAAGGAAUAUCUCAGCAGGAUGUCAGACCAAGACGCUGUAGGUCCUCCUUGUUUCAUCUAGCUGCGAUACAUAAACUCAGCCAUGUCUCCCCCAGUAAACACAGACUUGGGCUACAUCCCUCCUGAUGGAGGAUGGGGAUGGGCAGUCGUCUUUGGAGCAUCCAUAUCUGUUGGACUUGCUUACGCCUUCCCUAAGGCUUUCACAAUCUACUACAAAGAACUCCAGGCUGUUUAUAACAUCUCCUAUGGACAGAUUGCAUGGGUAUCUUCUAUUAUGUGUGCUGCAACCUAUG